rnacentral:ribozyme from 1 species
GCCGUUUAAAAAUGCUGCCUCUACAUGGUGGAUGACAGGCAACGGAUUAUAAUCCGGCUAAAGCGUAU